GAUGAACGCUGGCGGCGUGCUUUACACAUGCAAGUCGAACGGCAGCGCGGGGCAACCUGGCGGCGAGUGGCGAACGGGUGAGUAAUACAUCGGAACGUACCCAGAAGUGGGGGAUAACGUAGCGAAAGUUACGCUAAUACCGCAUACGUUCUACGGAAGAAAGUGGGGGACCUUCGGGCCUCAUGCUUUUGGAGCGGCCGAUGUCUGAUUAGCUAGUUGGUGAGGUAAAGGCUCACCAAGGCGACGAUCAGUAGCUGGUCUGAGAGGACGACCAGCCACACUGGGACUGAGACACGGCCCAGACUCCUACGGGAGGCAGCAGUGGGGAAUUUUGGACAAUGGGCGCAAGCCUGAUCCAGCAAUGCCGCGUGAGUGAAGAAGGCCUUCGGGUUGUAAAGCUCUUUUGUCAGGGAAGAAACGGCUGAGGUUAAUACCUUCGGCUAAUGACGGUACCUGAGGAAUAAGCACCGGCUAACUACGUGCCAGCAGCCGCGGUAA
rnacentral:rRNA from 1 species